AGAGUUUGAUUCUGGCUCAGAACGAACGCUGGCGGCGUGGAUAAGACAUGCAAGUCGAACGAGAGAAUUGCUAGCUUGCUAAUAAUUCUCUAGUGGCGCACGGGUGAGUAACACGUGAGUAACCUGCCCCCGAGAGCGGGAUAGCCCUGGGAAACUGGGAUUAAUACCGCAUAGUAUCGAAAGAUUAAAGCAGCAAUGCGCUUGGGGAUGGGCUCGCGGCCUAUUAGUUAGUUGGUGAGGUAACGGCUCACCAAGGCGAUGACGGGUAGCCGGUCUGAGAGGAUGUCCGGCCACACUGGAACUGAGACACGGUCCAGACACCUACGGGUGGCAGCAGUCGAGAAUCAUUCACAAUGGGGGAAACCCUGAUGGUGCGACGCCGCGUGGGGGAAUGAAGGUCUUCGGAUUGUAAACCCCUGUCAUGUGGGAGCAAAUUAAAAAGAUAGUACCACAAGAGGAAGAGACGGCUAACUCUGUGCCAGCAGCCGCGGUAAUACAGAGGUCUCAAGCGUUGUUCGGAAUCACUGGGCGUAAAGCGUGCGUAGGCUGUUUCGUAAGUCGUGUGUGAAAGGCGCGGGCUCAACCCGCGGACGGCACAUGAUACUGCGAGACUAGAGUAAUGGAGGGGGAACCGGAAUUCUCGGUGUAGCAGUGAAAUGCGUAGAUAUCGAGAGGAACACUCGUGGCGAAGGCGGGUUCCUGGACAUUAACUGACGCUGAGGCACGAAGGCCAGGGGAGCGAAAGGGAUUAGAUACCCCUGUAGUCCUGGCAGUAAACGGUGCACGCUUGGUGUGCGGGGAAUCGACCCCCUGCGUGCCGGAGCUAACGCGUUAAGCGUGCCGCCUGGGGAGUACGGUCGCAAGAUUAAAACUCAAAGAAAUUGACGGGGACCCGCACAAGCGGUGGAGUAUGUGGCUUAAUUCGAUGCAACGCGAAGAACCUUACCUGGGCUUGACAUGUAAUGAACAACAUGUGAAAGCAUGCGACUCUUCGGAGGCGUUACACAGGUGCUGCAUGGCCGUCGUCAGCUCGUGUCGUGAGAUGUUUGGUUAAGUCCAGCAACGAGCGCAACCCCUGUUGCCAGUUACCAGCACGUGAAGGUGGGGACUCUGGCGAGACUGCCCAGAUCAACUGGGAGGAAGGUGGGGACGACGUCAGGUCAGUAUGGCCCUUAUGCCCAGGGCUGCACACGUACUACAAUGCCCAGUACAGAGGGGGCCGAAGCCGCGAGGCGGAGGAAAUCCUAAAAACUGGGCCCAGUUCGGACUGUAGGCUGCAACCCGCCUACAC
rnacentral:rRNA from 1 species